rnacentral:lncRNA from 1 species
AUGAUGAUUGAAUUAACUGUUCAUCUGUCUUAUUCCCACCUCCCAGGCCCCUCGAACAAUCUGCAUUUCCCCAGGACAACUAACUUCUACGUCUUCAUAUGUAGUCCAGUGCUUCACCAAGGAUGUGUUACAUACUUACUGAACCAAACUAUUGUGAUCUGGAGUCUGCUGUAUCCUGUGUUUGGGAUGUUUUUCACUGAAUUCACCCAGAACAGCAGUGUCUGUGCUUGGCAGCAACACAGUGACGCCUUCAGAGAACAUUCAGGGCUACUUUGCCAUCACAUCUCUGUUUUCUAGCCAUUACCAGUACAGCAUUGUGAUGUCUCCAAUCGACAUCACUUGGAUUCCAGAUGUCAAGGAAGCAUAUUAUGUAUGACAGCUCAGACGAAAUCAUUACAAAUGUAUUUCCCAGAAGCCAACAACGUGAGUAAUUUCUACGUAACUGUUAAAGUGAGUGAAAGUGAAUCGGGAUGUUUUAAUAACU